ACAUUCGCAUACUAGUAUAGUGUUGUUAUUUAUCAGACAAGUACUGUGGUCCAUGAAACCACAUGUAGCUCUCCUCCAAUUUAUGUGGAGCA